UGGGUCCUUUAUAGCGUGCUGAUUGAUGUGAGCCAAGGCUCCGUGUUGAAGGCCGUACCUUGGCCUAUAAUGGUUUACUUUUAUAAAUUGUUACUUGGAGGGAGAGUUGUCUCAUUGGCACUCAUACCACAUCUUCCUAUAUAUUAUGAUACAUCUAUGUCAUCUCUGCUAUCGUUCACUAAAAUAUCGUCAUUGAGCUUUAUUGACCA
rnacentral:lncRNA from 1 species